CCCCUGCUGGGGGGCGGGCGGACGCACUGGGGCAGGGAGGGUUCUGGGAGGAUGCUUACCCACAAUGCUGUGCGGGUUGGUUCACUGGGAGCCCCUUGGUGACAGCAGAGCGAAUUCUGGGCACAGGCGUUUGCGUGACACUCCCAGCCCCAGAACACUUUUAAAAACUGGAGUUUUAUUGAACUCAGUAUCCAGAACUGAACAGCCCCAGCUUGCCAAGCACCUGCUGCUGAGCCCCCCGAAUUCUGCUCCUGCGCCCCGACCUGUCCCCUUUGACCUCUUCAGUCAACUUCCAAUCCUUAAGGCACGGGGCGCAGGGAAACAUUGCCGGGGCGCUGCCUUGCGAGUGCUACGUUCUCCCCUCGGAAACGGAAAUAACGUGGUACCGUGGUCCGGCGCUCCCUGCAACGCAUUAGCAGCCGCUGGGAGUCCCGCUAGCUCGUAAGCGCCAUCUCAGCUGUGCCAGGCCUUUGUGCGAGACCACAAAGCCGAGAUACCAUGGGCAGAAGGGACCAGCGUGCUCAUCUCCUCUGACCUAGAUACCGCAGCUCAUAGACCUCCCCCAAUAAUUCCUAGAGCAGCUCUCUUGAUUUUUAAAAUCACCGGUGAUGGAGAAUCACCAUGACCCUUGGUACAUUGUUCCAAUGGUUAAUUACUCUCAUGGUUAAACAUUUAUGCCUUAUGUCUGGUCUGAAUUUGUCUAGCUUCAACAUCCAGCCACUGGGUCCCAUCACAGCUUCGUCAGCUAGACUGCAGAGCCCAUUAUCAAAUAUUUGUUUCCCAGGUAGGAACUUACAUAGACUGAUCGAGUCAGCCCUUAACCUGCUCUGUGUCAGACUCCAGGAGCUUAAGUGGUUUGACUUCUCACUCGAAGGCAGGUUUUCCAAACCUUGAAUCCUUCUCAUAGCUCUUCCCUGAACCCUGUCCAACUGCGCUUGAACUGCGGACAUCACAGCUGGUCAUAGGAUUCCAGUGGUCGCACAAGUGCCAAACUCCUAGCUCUGAGCGUCCGCGGCUCUUUCUGGUGAUUUCGCCUCUUGUCUGCUACGGCUUUCAGACUCCACGGUCUCGUUGUGGCACUGGUGCCUUCCAGCAGCCGGUGCGAAGGUGACGGCGUUCAGAUUGGCAGCUCCCAAACCAUCCUGCUCCUUCCCCAGCCAUGGAUGGAAGGGUUCAGAGUUCAGCGUCUGCGGCCGUCAUGUAACGCAGUUGAUCUUCAGUCUGCAAAUCGCUGGGGUCUGAAUUUCUCUCCUCAAUCUGAGCUCAGAUUGGGCUAGUUUGCCUUGUUCCCUGCAUCUUCUGUGGUGGCGCUGAAGUUAGAAAGCAGUAAAAACUCUUUGCCACCCUUUUUUUUUU